GACGAACGCUGGCGGCGUGCUUAACACAUGCAAGUCGAACGGAAAGGCCCUGCUUUUGUUGGGUGCUCGAUUGGCGAACGGGUGAGUAACACGUGAGUAACCUCCCCUUGACUUUGGGAUAACUUCAGGAAACUGCGGCUAAUACCGCAUAGGAGCUCCUGCUGCAUGGUGGUGGUUGGAAAGUUUCGGCGGUUGGGUAUGGACUCGCAGCUUAUGAGCUUGUUGGUCGGGUAGUGGCUUACCAAGGCUUUGACGGGUAGCCGGCCUGAGAGGGUUACCGGCGACAUUAGGACUGCGAUACGGCGCAGACUGCUACGGGAGGCAGCAGGCGGGAAUAUUGCACAAUGGGCGGGAGCCUGAUGCAGCAACGCUGCGUGCGUGAUGACGGGCUACGGGUUGUAAACCGCUUUCGACGGUGACGAAGAGGGAGUGACGGUAAUGGGUAAAGAAGCACCGGCUAACUACGUG
rnacentral:rRNA from 1 species